rnacentral:rRNA from 1 species
GAGGAAUAUUGGUCAAUGGGCGCAAGCCUGAACCAGCCAAGUAGCGUGCAGGAAGACGGCCCUAUGGGUUGUAAACUGCUUUUAUACGAGAAUAAUUUGAUGCACGUGUGCGUUAUUGCAUGUAUCGUAUGAAUAAGGACCGGCUAAUUCCGUGCCAGCAGCCGCGGUAAUACGGAAGGUCCAGGCGUUAUCCGGAUUUAUUGGGUUUAAAGGGAGUGUAGGCGGUUUGUUAAGCGUGUUGUGAAAUUUAGAUGCCCAACAUUUAACUUGCAGCGCGAACUGUCAGACUUGAGUACACGCAACGUAUGCGGAAUUCAUGGUGUAGCGGUGAAAUGCUUAGAUAUCAUGAAGAACUCCGAUUGCGAAGGCAGCAUACGGGAGUGUAACUGACGCUUAAGCUCGAAGGUGCGGGUAUCGAACAGGAUUAGAUACCCUGGUAGUCCGCACAGUAAACGAUGGAUGCCCGCUGUUAGCGCCUGGCGUUAGCGGCUAAGCGAAAGCAUUAAGCAUCCCACCUGGGGAGUACGCCGGCAACGGUG